rnacentral:rRNA from 1 species
AGUUGAUCUUGCCAGUAGUCAUAUGCUUGUCGCAAAGAUUAAGCC